rnacentral:tRNA from 1 species
AAUCCGUCGACUUUAUAAAUCGUGAGGGU